rnacentral:rRNA from 1 species
GACGAACGCUGGCGGCGUGCUUAACACAUGCAAGUCGAACGGAAAGGCCCUGCUUUGGUGGGGUGCUCGAGGGGCGAACGGGUGAGUAACACGUGAGUAACCUGCCCUUGACUUUGGGAUAACUUCAUGAAACUGGGGCUAAUCCCGGAUAGGAGCUCCUGCUGUAUGGUGGGGGUUGGAAAGUUUCGGCGGUUGGGGAUGGAAUCGCGGCUUAUCAGAUUGUUGGUGGGGUAGUGGCUUACCAAGGCUUUGACGGGUAGCCGGCCUGAGAGGGUGACCGGACCCAUUGGGACUGAGAUACGACCCAGCCUACUACGGGAGGCAGCAGUGGAGAAUAUUGCACAAUGGGAGGAAGCAUGAUGCAGCAACGCCGCGUGCGGGAUGACGGCAUUCGGGUUGUAAACCGCUUUCGCCUGUGACGAAGCGUGAGUGACGGUAAUGGGUAAAGAAGCACCGGCUAACUACGUG